rnacentral:lncRNA from 11 species
CCUAUCCUCUUUCUGACCGCAUUGUUUUCAUAACAUGAUCCUAGUGGGUUCUUUGAUAAAUUCCCAACAAAGACUCCUUCAAAACAGUCCAAAGACUUGUCUAUACUAACCAAAAUUCCUGGACUCAUCUCGAAUGGAAGUGUCUCUCUCUUCAUUCUUAAAUUGUAAACUAUUUUUUUAAAUGUUAAGCUAGUUUGCCUUGCUUCAGGCAAAGGGGAGGGGGCACUCCAGAGUUUGCUAGAUUUGGGCCCCUUCAGUCGAAUCCACUGUCUAGUUGGAAUGCGGGUACCAUCACCUUUUCCCUGUGCCCAUCAGUUCAGGGAAAGAGAUGAAUUGUGGCUGUGCUGCCACCACUGCCCUGGAGCUUCCCACAAACUCCUACCCAUCAUGGGCAUCUCUGCAGAUAUCAAAAUAUGGCACCCACACCACCAGCAUGAAGAAGGGGAUCAAUCCCCUCUCAUUCCUCCUGGUUGUGUGGGUGCCCCUGCCAAUUGCAGAACAGAUGCCCAUGAGAUCAGGGAGAAGGAUGGCAGGGUUGCUUCCCUCCUUCAUGAAACUUCACAACCAAUUCCAUGGUCAGCUAGGAGCAAUUAUGGCAGCGAAAUGGAGGAGAUAAGAAGUCUUUUUCAUAAUCAAGAUGGAAAAUGCAUAUGAGCUCUGGAACUGGUUUUCUGUAUGGCUAAUACCAGAAGAAA